UCCAGGUUCUCCACAGGAUCCAUCAGCUUGUGUUUUUUGAAUGAGGCGAUUAGGUGAUGAGGAUCCAGGAACAGUGCUGUGAGUCCGGUGGUCUACCUCAGUGCAGAACUGACACACACACGUCUGGUCGUCUCUACAGAACAGCUCCAGGGGUCUCUCAUGUUUCUGGCAGAUGUAGUCCUCCAGGUUCUCCACAGGAUCCAUCAGCUUGUGUUUCUUUAAUUUAGGUGUAGUUUUAUGAAGUGAUAGAUGAGA